CACACGCCGGUCUUGGUCUUCCUGCAUUCCACUUUCUUUUGGUUCAGUUUGAGCUGCAGUUGCCAUCAUGAGACUGGGCGUGCUUCUACUCCUGUCGGUGCUUUGGACGGCGCAAGGAUUUCCUGCACGGAAUGGUUGCGUCGGAAGACCAGGCGGUCCCCCAGGUUUAGGCAAUCCAUCUUUCA